ensembl:lncRNA
GCCUGACCCUGAUCUCGGGCGCCUGCACCCCGCAACUCCGCUUGGAGUCCACGCAGACACUGCGCCCGCGCCAAGGGGGUACCAAGGUGCACCAUCACAGAGCUACACCCUGAUGCCAGCUACCGCCCUCUUUGACCUGGAUUUCUACAAUAGCCUCCUUCCUGGUACCCCCGCUGCCACCCUUGACCCCCUGCAGUCGAUUCUCUACUGUCAGAGCUAACCUUUGAAAACAAUACCAUGGGGAGCAUCGUUUUCUGUUUGCAUUACUGUUGGAUCCCAAGUGUCAUGGACCGUGCCCGAUAUAUAGCAGAUACUCAAUAACAGUUUUGUCGAACACUUAAAUGAUAAUUUCAGAGAGGAAGGACAGAACCAUAUAUCUGAAAUGAUGAGAAAACGGAGGCCAAAGAAAAGUUGUUUCUGGAAGACCACAAAGUGAGUGAGAGGCCGAGCUGAAGGCCUCCUCCUCCCUGCCGCCCACAGUGCCCUGGUCCAGAUUGUGUGCACGGAAACCUGCAGCCCAAUUCAGACUCCGGAAGGGCUCUGUUUGGCCUACCGCUAAUUCAAAUUAGUUGUCAUCAUGAAAAAAAAAUGAGGACAUUGCAAGUACAAAUCCAUAUUAAAAAAAAAAAAACAACAACAAAACAGAUCCGAGAACUUCAGGCUCACUGCCUGCAUGACACUGGCCAGUGAAUGGGGCAGCACUGAGCCCUGAGGCAAGCCUGUCCAGUUUGCUGUGGUUUCCACUCUUACUCCCUUGCCUAAGGGCCUGUGUUAUUUGCCAUUUGUCAGGAAGCUUGCUCUGUUGUUUUUCUUAAAGGGGAAAGUCACAUAUUUCCUGGAACCUAUCGAAGGGAUCUCUUAUCUGACCCCAGCUUGCUCCAUCUCCCUGGUGUCUGUGAGCAUUUGAAUUACGACACUUUCCCUCUGUGAACCACAGAUUCCUCACGUGUAAAGCGAGGCAUUUGAAUAUGAUGAUUCCAAGGUCCUUUCCAGUUCUGGCUGGCAAGCCUCUCCAAGUCUGCACUUCAGAAAUGAGUUGUGCUAUUGACAAUGCUUAAUUGUUCUGCAGAUGGUUUUUGAGGGAUUGCUCACCCUUGACUCUUUUGUCCUUGAAUUAUGAUUUAUCUAAGCCCUUAGAAGAAAAAUGCCUUUUGUUUUGGGAGUUUAUCCUUCACCUUUUGAUUUGGGGAAAAAAUUGAGUACUUCAAACAAUGCAGCAUAGCUGCAGUUGCUAGGAAGGGCGAGCAGCCACAGAGGCUGCCUGGAGACAAGGCCAUCAGAAAACUCCAGUCUCCCUGCCUUACUUCCCUUCUGCCUCCCUCCCUCUUUCAUUCUCUUGCUCUCUUUUUAUCUUUUGAGCAAAGAUAUCAAAAUCAAUUUGUUGUUGUUUAGUCACUAAGUCAUGUCUGACUCUUUGGCUACCCCAUGGAAUAUAGCCUGCUAGGCUUCUCUGGCCAUGGAAUUUUCCAGGCAAGAAUACUGG